AGUAGCUGGUUCCCUCCG
rnacentral:ncRNA from 2 species